UCGAGAAACUUCCACAAUGGGCGAAAGCCUGAUGGAGCGACGUCGCGUGAUGGACGAAGUGCUUCGGCACGUAAACAUCUUUUAUGUGGGAUGAAAUUAUUGACAGUACCACAUGAAUAAGGGGCUCCUAACUCUGUGCCAGCAGGAGCGGUAAUACAGAGGCCCCAAGCGUUAUCCGGAAUCACUGGGCGUAAAGGGUGUCGAGGCGGUUGUAUUAGUCGUUCGUAAAAUCUACGAGCUUAACUUGUAGGCGGCGAACGAAACGGUACGACUUGAGGUUUGGAGAGGUGCGUGGAACUCACGGUGUAGGGGUGAAAUCCGUUGAUAUCGUGGGGAACACCAAAGGCGAAGGCAGCGCACUGGCCAAAAUCUGACGCUCACACACGAAAGCUAGGGUAGCGAAGAGGAUUAGAUACCCACGUAGUCCCUGAGCGGGCUGGCAAGGCGC
rnacentral:rRNA from 1 species